AAAAGCUGGUUGAUGACAAUUCUGUGCUUAGUGAAUAUGGCGUAAGCAAUAAUUCCAAGGUACAUUUUUUCCCUUUUGUCGCAUCCAGGGCGACCCAGAAACAUUCUAAGAGAAGGAAACACCGUUUCUUUCAUGGUCUCAGUAAAAGGUUAUAGCUUCGCCACGAGCUCAAAGUUCUGAUACUGUUUUCUUCUUUAUGGUAUUUUGCAGUUUUACUUCACCGAUAAAUUGAUAAUGAUGACAAUUUUAAUGUGGAGAUAUUUGAUUGUGUUGAA